AGCGUGGAGACAGGUGGUGCAUGGCUGUCGUCAGCUCGUGUCGUGAGAUGUUGGGUUAAGUCCCGCAACGAGCGCAACCCUCACCCCUAGUUGCCACCGGGUUAAGCCGAGCACUCAAGGGGAACUGCCGGUGUCAAGCUGGGGGAAGGCGGGGAUGACGUCAAGUCAUCAUGCCCCUUACGCCCUGGGCUACACACGUGCUACAAUGGCCAGUACAAAGGGACGCGAGACUGCGAAGUGGAGCUAAUCCCAAAAAGCUGGUCUAAGUUCAGAUUGCAGUCUGCAACUCGACUGCAUGAAGGAGGAAUCGCUAGUAAUCGCGUAUCAGCCCGGCGCGGUGAAUACGUUCCCGGGCCUUGUACACACCGCCCGUCACACCGCGAAAGCUGUCUGUACUCGAAGUCGCUGAG
rnacentral:rRNA from 1 species